AGCAGAGCAGAGCAGAGCAGACCUUUAAGUUGGAAGCCCACUGUGCCCCUUUUGGUUUGUACCUUUUGUUUUUUGGUUUUUGCUCUAUUAAGGAGAGGUUAAUUUUGUCUUGUUGAGGUUUAUAGUCGUUUGCUCGUUUUAGAAAUGAGUCGCUAUAAGUUAAGGCCUGUUUGUUAAAGUUGGAGCCCCUUUAGUUAAAGGCCUUUAACUGUACCUGUUUUAAUACAUUGUAGGAUAGUUUCCUCUCUUAGGCCUAGUCCACAAGUAGCUGUUUUUUUUAAACGAAUAUCCGCCCCUCCAAAAACUUGCAUCCACACCACCUCGUUUAAAAAAAAAACUCUGUCCACACGUUCCUGUUGUGUGAUGGGGUGAGUACUCCCUCUUCUCCACAACAUCUUUGUAAGACUGUCAUUCCAGGAGAGGGCACUCACCAGCUGUGGGACAUUACCGAUCAGCGGCAGCUGCAGAUCCUCUAAUCAACCGCAGCAGAGCUCUAUUUAAGAGGAGAGGGAACCACUUCACAUGGCUGGAUGAUUAACUACUCACUGAUACUUGGAAUCGCUGAACCACAGAUGGAUGUACCUACCUGGAAGUCACCAUAACCCGCCUGGAUUACACACUCAAGGUUCACCUCUCCUCCAGCUUCACUUGCCCUCUGCCGCCAUCAUCUGGCUCCCUCUCCUGGACGUACCCCGUCACACCGUUUGCCCUCCCUGCUGGCUUUUGGACUCUUGCCGACUACUUCACACUUGGAUAUCUCCAGGACACUUUUAGUUAGGGUUAAUAAAUCAUUGUUUGAACUUUC